AGUGAACGCUGGCGGCAGGCCUAACACAUGCAAGUCGAACGGCAGCACAGUAAGAGCUUGCUCUUACGGGUGGCGAGUGGCGGACGGGUGAGGAAUACAUCGGAAUCUACUUUUUCGUGGGGGAUAACGUAGGGAAACUUACGCUAAUACCGCAUACGACCUACGGGUGAAAGCAGGGGAUCUUCGGACCUUGCGCGAUUGAAUGAGCCGAUGUCGGAUUAGCUAGUUGGCGGGGUAAAGGCCCACCAAGGCGACGAUCCGUAGCUGGUCUGAGAGGAUGAUCAGCCACACUGGAACUGAGACACGGUCCGGACUCCUGCGGGAGGCAGCAGUGGGGAAUAUUGGGCAAUGGGCGCAAGCCUGAUCCAGCCAUACCGCGUGGGUGAAGAAGGCCUUCGGGUUGUAAAGCCCUUUUGUUGGGAAAGAAAAGCAGCAAGUUAAUACCCCGCGGUUCUGACGGUACCCAAAGAAUAAGCACCGGCUAACUUCGUG
rnacentral:rRNA from 1 species